rnacentral:rRNA from 1 species
GACGAACGCUGGCGGCGUGCUUAACACAUGCAAGUCGUACGGUAAGGCCCUUUCGGGGGUACACGAGUGGCGAACGGGUGAGUAACACGUGAGUAACCUGCCCACAACUUUGGGAUAACGCUAGGAAACUGGUGCUAAUACUGGAUAUGUGCUACUGCUGCAUGGUGGGGGUUGGAAAGCUCCGGCGGUUGUGGAUGGACUCGCGGCCUAUCAGCUUGUUGGUGGGGUAGUGGCCUACCAAGGCGGCGAGGGGUAGCCCGCCUGGGAGGGUGACCGGCCACAAUAGGACUAAGGUACGGCCCAGAACCCUACCGGAGGCAACAGGUGGGAAUAUUGCAGAAUGGGGCCGAGCCAGAUGCAACAACCCCCGGUGCGGGAUGACCGGCUUUGGGGUAUAAACCGCUUUCAACGUGGACGGAGCCUUUUGUACGGUACCUGCAGAAGAAGCACCGGCUAACUACGUG